UACGGAGGGUGCAAGCGUUGCUCGGAAUUAUUGGGCGUAAAGGGUAGGUAGGUGGUCUUAUUUGUCUGGGGUGAAAUCCCUGAGCUUAACUCAGGAAGUGCCUCAGAAACGGUAAGACUAGAGUCCUGGAGAGGGUCGUGGAAUUCCCGGUGUAGCGGUGAAAUGCGUAGAGAUCGGGAGGAACACCAGAGGCGAAGGCGGCGACCUGGACAGGUACUGACACUCAACUACGAAAGCGUGGGGAGCAAACAGG
rnacentral:rRNA from 1 species